GUCGAACGAUGAUGCCAGCUUGCUGGUGGAUUAGUGGCGAACGGGUGAGUAACACGUGAGUAACCUGCCCUUGACUCUGGGAUAAGCCUGGGAAACUGGGUCUAAUACCGGAUAUGACCUUCCAUCGCAUGGUGGUUGGUGGAAAGCUUUUGUGGUUUUGGAUGGACUCGCGGCCUAUCAGCUUGUUGGUGGGGUAAUGGCCUACCAAGGCGACGACGGGUAGCCGGCCUGAGAGGGUGACCGGCCACACUGGGACUGAGACACGGCCCAGACUCCUACGGGAGGCAGCAGUGGGGAAUAUUGCACAAUGGGCGAAAGCCUGAUGCAGCGACGCCGCGUGAGGGAUGACGGCCUUCGGGUUGUAAACCUCUUUCAGUAGGGAAGAAGCGUAAGUGACGGUACCUGCAGAAGAAGCGCCGGCUAACUACGUGCCAGCAGCCGCGGUAAUACGUAGGGCGCAAGCGUUAUCCGGAAUUAUUGGGCGUAAAGAGCUCGUAGGCGGUUUGUCGCGUCUGCCGUGAAAGUCCGGGGCUCAACUCCGGAUCUGCGGUGGGUACGGGCAGACUAGAGUGAUGUAGGGGAGACUGGAAUUCCUGGUGUAGCGGUGAAAUGCGCAGAUAUCAGGAGGAACACCGAUGGCGAAGGCAGGUCUCUGGGCAUUAACUGACGCUGAGGAGCGAAAGCAUGGGGAGCGAACAGGAUUAGAUACCCUGGUAGUCCAUGCCGUAAACGUUGGGCACUAGGUGUGGGGGACAUUCCACGUUUUCCGCGCCGUAGCUAACGCAUUAAGUGCCCCGCCUGGGGAGUACGGCCGCAAGGCUAAAACUCAAAGGAAUUGACGGGGGCCCGCACAAGCGGCGGAGCAUGCGGAUUAAUUCGAUGCAACGCGAAGAACCUUACCAAGGCUUGACAUGAACCGGACCGCUGCAGAAAUGUGGUUUUCCCUUUGGGGCUGGUUUACAGGUGGUGCAUGGUUGUCGUCAGCUCGUGUCGUGAGAUGUUGGGUUAAGUCCCGCAACGAGCGCAACCCUCGUUCUAUGUUGCCAGCACGUGAUGGUGGGGACUCAUAGGAGACUGCCGGGGUCAACUCGGAGGAAGGUGGGGACGACGUCAAAUCAUCAUGCCCCUUAUGUCUUGGGCUUCACGCAUGCUACAAUGGCCGGUACAAAGGGUUGCGAUACUGUGAGGUGGAGCUAAUCCCAAAAAGCCGGUCUCAGUUCGGAUUGGGGUCUGCAACUCGACCCCAUGAAGUCGGAGUCGCUAGUAAUCGCAGAUCAGCAACGCUGCGGUGAAUACGUUCCCGGGCCUUGUACACACCGCCCGUCAAGUCACGAAAGUUGGUAACA
rnacentral:rRNA from 1 species